rnacentral:rRNA from 1 species
AACGAACGCUGGCGGCAGGCUUAACACAUGCAAGUCGAACGCCCCGCAAGGGGAGUGGCAGACGGGCGAGUAACGCGUGGGAACGUGCCCUUCGCUUCGGAAUAGCUCCGGGCAACUGGGCGUAAUACCGAAUACGCCGUAUUGGGAAAGAUUUAUCGGCGAAGGAUCGGCCCGCGUUAGAUUACGUAGUUGGCGGUGUAAUGAACCACCAAGCCUCCGAUCUAUAGCUGGUCUGAGAGGAUAAUCAGCCACACUGGGACUGAGACACGUUCCAGACUCCUACGAAUGGCAGCAGUGGUGAAUCUUGGACAAUGGGCGCAAGCCUGAUCCAGCCAUGCCGCGUGAGUGAAGAAGGCCUUAGAGUUGUAAAACUCUUUCGCCGGAGAAGAUAAUUACUGUAUCCGGAGAAGAAGCCCCGGCUAACUUCGUGCCAGCCGCCGCAGUAACAC